rnacentral:rRNA from 1 species
GAUGAACGCUAGCUACAGACUUAACACAUGCAAGUCGAGGGGAAACGACAUCGAAAGCUUGCUUUUGAUGGGCGUCGACCGGCGCACGGGUGAGUAACGCGUAUCCAACCUGCCCACCACUUGGGGAUAACCUUGCGAAAGUAAGACUAAUACCCAAUGAUAUCUCUAGAAGACAUCUGAAAGAGAUUAAAGAUUUAUCGGUGAUGGAUGGGGAUGCGUCUGAUUAGCUUGUUGGCGGGGUAACGGCCCACCAAGGCAACGAUCAGUAGGGGUUCUGAGAGGAAGGUCCCCCACAUUGGAACUGAGACACGGUCCAAACUCCUACGGGAGGCAGCAGUGAGGAAUAUUGGUCAAUGGACGAGAGUCUGAACCAGCCAAGUAGCGUGCAGGAAGACGGCCCUAUGGGUUGUAAACUGCUUUUAUAAGGGAAUAAAGUGAGUCUCGUGAGACUUUUUGCAUGUACCUUAUGAAUAAGGACCGGCUAAUUCCGUG